GUGCUAUGGAGGUCUCAGCGGUGUUCGCCUACUCGAGUGUCCGAUUUUAGUUCCAGACACUCGGCGGCAAAACACUGCUGUUCAGGAGUAAGAUGGCCGCGACUACGUGUAAAAGUCCCAAAAUAUCGGCCACCCAGGCACUUCAACAAAGUGUUCGUGUGUUUCCCAUGAAGACUGUAUUCGCCGAUCAGGGAGGUAAAUUACACAUAAUUAGGUAGCAGGGUGGUCCGGUGUUCG